UACGGAGGGUGCGAGCGUUGUCCGGAAUCACUGGGCGUAAAGGGCGCGUAGGCGGCGCGGGAAGUCCAUGGUGAAAGCCCGAGGCUCAACUUCGGGUCGGCCAAGGAUACUCCCGGGCUCGAGCACUGUAGAGGCAGGUGGAAUUCCGGGUGUAGCGGUGGAAUGCGUAGAGAUCCGGAAGAACACCGGUGGCGAAGGCGGCCUGCUGGGCAGUUGCUGACACUGAGGCGCGACAGCGUGGGGAGCAAACAGG
rnacentral:rRNA from 1 species